CGAGCUUCCGGUUGUUGCCGGAGGGAAANCCCGUUUAANCCCCGCCCGCCCUGGGAAGUUACGGCCCGCAAGGGCUGAAAACUUAAAAGGAAUUGGGCGGGGANCCACUNCAACGGGGUGNAGCCUUGCGGUUCAAUUUGGAUUCAACCCCGGAAGCUUACCGGGGGAGACNGCUGGAUGAANGUCGGGCUGAAGACCCUACCCAGACUAGCUGAGAGGUGGUGCAUGGCCGCCGUCAGUUUCGUACUGUGAAGCAUCCUGUUAAGUCAGGCAACGAGCGAGACCCGCGCCCUCAGUUGCCAGCGGAUCCCUUCGGGGAUGCCGGGCACACUGAGGGGACUGCCGGCGCUAANCCGGAGGAAGGUGCGGGCGACGGCAGGUCCGUAUGCCCCGAAUCCCCCNGGCUACACGCGGGCUACAAUGGCCGGGACAAUGGGUACCGACCCCGAAAGGGGUAGGUAAUCCCCUAAACCCGGUCUAACCUGGGAUCGAGGGCUGCAACUCGCCCUCGUGAACCUGGAAUC
rnacentral:rRNA from 1 species